CCACCACACAGGAAUGUCAGCAUUUAUUCAAAUGGUUGAUAAAAAAUGCAAGAGCUGUUACAGAUAAUGAAUUCCAUAUGUUAGCCAUAUCUUCCAUAAAAAUAUAAGACUGGAAAAUCCAAACAUUUCCUCAAUUACCUGUAAUAACUUAGCAUAAAAUCAUAAUCUCAGGAGCUAAUGAUAUCAAGGCAAACUCAAAUUCACCUGAAUGCACCAAACCUUGCCAACUUUGUGCAAAAAAUAGAAUGUUUACCUCAUUGUAUGAAAUAAAAUAAGUUGAAUAAUGCUGAAAUAAAUAUGCAUAACAUUAAAUCAUAAAUAGAAAAUAAAUAUUUCUGGAGAAACCAUUGUUAAGAUCCAUCCCUCUAGCCAUUCAAUUUUUCAAUAGACAAUAAAUGCUUACCAAAAGUAUAAUCUUUUGAGAUACAAAACAUCCAUAUAGCAACAUACAGAAAUGUGAAGUUCAAAGUAAACUUGUAAAACAAGUCAUUAUUAGGGCAGUGACUUUUAAUCACCGUUAUUUAGGAUAAAUAUCAAACUCAAAUAUGUCUCCCCAUGGUUCGUACCAAAAAAGGAAAUCAAUCACGGACGUGAAAACUAACAACAAAAACAUCAUAGUCCAAUUUCAUAAAAAUAUAAAACAUAAAACUGAGGACAAACAGUGAUAACGUGGACAUUCAACAAACAGAAAAACAAAAGUGCAUUUUUAUGCUUUUUAUUCUUAAAUAAAUACAGACUGUCAGACUGUAAUUACAAAAGCUGCUCACACAAUGUGAGGACUGCUGCUGGCUUCUGGAAAUAAUGUGGCCAAUGCAUGGAAAGAUCUCUCACAUGGCAAAAUGCAUAUCAUCCUCAAGGUUUUAGUUUUCAGAGCUGUCCAUUCCUUCAACUUAUCUAUUCUAUUAUGCAUGAACAAAAAUGUAAUGUUUUAAAAAUGUUAGGAGGCAAUCCUGAACAGAGACAUUAAAUGAUUGGUUGAGAAUCGCAAGGUGGUAGGUAGCUAACGAUCUUACUGGCAGACACUCCUAGUUUGGCGCUUUUCAUAACAAGAAAUUAUAAAAUGAAUGAUUUUAUAUUCAUAGAUGUUGCUGUUCAUUUAUGUACAGUCCUUUGCAAAAGUAUUCACACCGCUGACCAAUCCCCUCAUAUUACGGAAUUAAAAAUUAUAUAUGAACAGUUUGUUCUGUUUGAUACAUAUUUUAAAACCCUUAAACUUAAAAUGAAAUAUUGAAGGUGAAAUGAUUUCAAUGUUAGAAAAAAACCUGAAACAUGUUGCUUCAAUUUCACCCAUAUGCUGUGGGAAGCUCCCAGUUAACACUGAUGACACUGCCCAAAUAAGGACAUUGUGAAUGAAAUUACUGUCAAAUUUUCUGUAAGUACCUCAAAAUACAUAAAGCUGUUACUGCAGUGAAAGGUGAUUCCACCAAAUUUCUUCUGUAUUGCUAGCAAAAACGACCCAAAUUCUAUGAAGUGUAGCUUUAAUGUUUAGGAACAGAAUUAUAUUUCAGAAUAAACCAUUUGUAAUUCACAAAUAUGAGAAAAUUGGUUACGGGGUUUGAAUACUUUUGCAAGCCACUAUAUUUUAGGUGCUAUGUGGAUUAUUGUAAAAUAGUGUCAAAUAAUCAUAGUAAAAUAGUGUCAAAUAAUUUCUAUCAUUAUUUUUCCUUGUCAUCUCGAGGCUCCCUGGCUAUUCUCCGAGCACCCCUUGGGGACCUUGGCCUCCCUGUUGACUGCUGGCCUAAAGGUCUAUAGCCACCUGGAGGCAGACAAACAAUAGGGACAUAUUUUGGCUUCAUUGGGUCACAUUCAAUAUUCGUACUAGAACAACUGAAUCAAUGUAAACCUUAAAAAAAAUUUAAUUUUUAAAAUAUGAAUACAAAACAGCAGUUCUUCCACAGCCCGUCUUUGUGAAGGAUAGGACCUGUAGACUGAAGACUGCUGUAAAUAUGGUUUACCUGUAAAGGAGACACAAGUGAUACACAAUACAUGUUCAUACCACUCCCUGAAAAAGACCUGAGUGUGAAAUAACAUUUUCUGCACCAUAUUUACUCAUCUCUUGGAAAGGCUGAGGAAUUCUUUUUUUAAAACUGCAGAGCCGAUCGAAUCAAUUUCCACAUGCUACGCUAUAAAUGUUAAAUCGGAGGCCAUUGCAGCACGCUGAGUAUAAUCACUUUUAACACCGGCAAAGCAGACUCAUUGCUUUUUCACACCUUGCUCUGCCAGAUUUCCAAGCACCAAGGAAGGCUAUCGUGUUCCGCACAGCUCAUCUCACUGAGCAAGAAGGGAAGUGCCAAUAUAUCAGUUACAUUUCACAUUGACUGCACCUCUAAACCUUCCUGUUAGUAUUCCUAAAUGGAAUUCAAACCUCCAGAGGUUUUGACCUAGAUCAGGGUAAUGAUCAUGGCUUUUCCCCCAAUUUCUUUUCCCAUUCCCUCUCAACACACAGACAGGCACAGUGUGAGGGUGUGCAUGUUUCUUAAAGGGUAGGUAGCAUGGGUUUUAACCAUAAUAAAUAUACAAUGUUUUCAGACAUAGUAACUUUGUUGUAGUCAUGACUUAGUUCCGUAACAUAACUAGUUAUAAUGUUUUUUCUUUUUCAAAAAGCGUACAGUUUUGGAUCUACCAACAAUGUAUUAUUGUCAACAUCAUGAUGAUGAUCUACAUUGCAGAGGAACACUAGCUAGCUUGAGCUGGCUAAUGUUACCCACUAGCUUUAAUUUGCGCUGUUGUGUUCAACUUGUUGUGUGCUCAUUGCCAGCACUGCAUCAUUGGAAUUGAUCUACUUUGGACUGGCUCAGCUCUACUCUUUUAACAUUGGAUGAGCCCACAGAGUCAAUCUGUAAGUCAAACCUUUUCUAAUCUUUCUGACGGAAAAUUGCUCUGGGCAGGUUUAUACUAUUUAUACUAGUUAGGCUCUGGUGAAGUGUGGUGUUUUGUUAGUUUAACAAACUGGAAAAGAUAACAUAACCUAGCGGACUAGCUUGCUGGCUAAGAUGACUACAUAAUAUUUUUGAUAACUGGUUAGAUGGUGUAAUAUUGGGUAGUUACAAAAUGUUGGUUAACUUGUGGCUCAUAUUGUAGAUGUUAAUUAGCAAGCAAGUUAGUUGCAGUAUGUUUUGAAAGCCACUGGUUGAAUCAGGCAGUGCUGAUGAAAAAGGUUUCGCUAGCAGGAUAGUCUGGCAAAGUUGGCAAAACAUUUGACUGAAACCAGUAAUUAUGACAUACAGUUUAGUUUAGUUUUAAUUUAUACAUUUUAAGAUAUUUCUGUCUGGGUUUAGGGGUUAAUCUAGCUGGCUGGGUCACUUAUAAUCAUUUGAAAAUACAUAAGUGUUGUGUAACUUCGCAUUGGCACUUUUUGAUGUGUAUACUAUAGUAAAUCUAAAUGUAACAAGUGGUUAUGUUAAAUGCUACCUACCCUUCAACACUCAGAGAGUACCUGGACACAGUUUUCCUUGAAUAAAAAGUGAUAGGACUGCUCAAGGAGACCCCAUAUUACAUUUUUCU
ensembl:lncRNA